ACGGAAUAGAUACCCUGGUAGUCCACGCCCUAAACGAUGUCUACUAGUUGUUGGUGGAGUAAAAUCCAUGAGUAAAUGCAGCUAACGCGUGAAGUAGACCGCCUGGGGAGUACGGUCGCAAGAUUAAAACUCAAAGGAAUUGACGGGGGGCCCGCACAAGCGGUGGAUUAUGUGGAUUAAUUCGAUGCAACGCGAAAACCUUACCUGGCCUUGACAUGCCACUAACGAAGCAGAGAUGCAUUAGGUGCCCGUAAGGGAAAGUGGACACAGGUGCUGCAUGGCUGUCGUCAGCUCGUGUCGUGAGAUGUUGGGUUAAGUCCCGCAACGAGCGCAACCCUUGCCAUUAAUUGCCAUCAUUUAGUUGGGCACUUUAAUGGGACUGCCGGUGACAAACCGGAGGAAGGUGGGGAUGACGUCAAGUCCUCAUGGCCCUUAUGGCCAGGGCUUCACACGUAAUACAAUGGUCGGUACAGAGAGUUGCCAACCCGCGAGGGGAGCUAAUCUCAGAAAGCCGAUCGUAGUCCGGAUUGUUCUCU
rnacentral:rRNA from 1 species